CGCGUGUGUGAAGAAGGCCUUCGGGUUGUAAAGCACUUUCAGUAAGGAGGAAGCGUUGAGUGUUAAUAGUACUCAGCGUUGACGUUACUUACAGAAGAAGCACCGGCUAACUCUGUGCCAGCAGCCGCGGUAAUACAGAGGGUGCAAGCGUUAAUCGGAAUUACUGGGCGUAAAGCGCACGUAGGCGGUUUUUUAAGUCAGAUGUGAAAGCCCCGGGCUCAACCUGGGAAUUGCAUUUGAAACUGGAAAACUAGAGUGUGUGAGAGGGGGGUAGAAUUCCAAGUGUAGCGGUGAAAUGCGUAGAGAUUUGGAGGAAUACCAGUGGCGAAGGCGGCCCCCUGGCACAACACUGACGCUCAGGUGCGAAAGCGUGGGGAGCAAACAGGAUUAGAUACCCUGGUAGUCCACGCCGUAAACGAUGUCUACUAGCUGUUCGUGACCUUGUGUCGUGAGUAGCGCAGCUAACGCACUAAGUAGACCGCCUGGGGAGUACGGUCGCAAGAUUAAAACUCAAAUGAAUUGACGGGGGCCCGCACAAGCGGUGGAGCAUGUGGUUUAAUUCGACGCAACGCGAAGAACCUUACCUACUCUUGACAUCCAGAGAAGACUGCAGAGAUGCGGUUGUGCCUUCGGGAACUCUGAGACAGGUGCUGCAUGGCUGUCGUCAGCUCGUGUUGUGAAAUGUUGGGUUAAGUCCCGCAACGAGCGCAACCCUUAUCCUUAGUUGCCAGCGCGUAAUGGCGGGAACUCUAGGGAGACUGCCGGUGAUAAACCGGAGGAANGUGGGGACGACGUCAAGUCAUCAUGGCCCUUACGAGUAGGGCUACACACGUGCUACAAUGGUAUGUACAGAGGGAGGCAAGCUGGCGACAGUGAG
rnacentral:rRNA from 1 species